CCAGAGCCUCCCCUGCCGUUUGUCCUCAGAACUGGGUUCCUUUUUUCCCCUGUCCCUUCCUCUCCCUUCUCUCCCUUGCUGCAGACUGCACAGCGCAAGAUCAGGGAAAUUGUACAACAGGUGAAGCAGCAGGAGCAGAAAUACCCUCAGGGAGUCGCCUCACAGCGCAGCAAGUGAGGCUCCCACAGGCACCAGCAAAACAACGGAUGAAUGUAGCCCUUCCAACACCUGACAGAAUGAGACCAAACGCAGCCAGCCAGAUCGGGAGCAAACCAAAGACCAUCUGAGGAAUGAGAAGUCUGCGGAGGCGGCCAGGGACUCUGCGGAGGCCCUGAGAACCCCAGGGGCCGAGGAGGGGUGGGGAAGGCAAAGCAGUGCUCUGAGUAUCACAUCACACAAAAGGAACAAAAGCGAAACACACAAACCAGCCUCAACUUACACUUGGUUACUCAAAAGAACAAGAGUCAAUGGUACUUGUCCUAGCGUUUUGGAAGAGGAAAACAGGAACCCACCAAACCAACCAAUCAACCAAACAAAGAAAAAAAUUCCACAAUGAAAGAAUGUAUUUUGUCUUUUUGCAUUUUGGUGUAUAAGCCAUCAAUAUUCAGCAAAAUGAUUGCUUUCUUUAAAAAAAAAUGUGGAGGAAAGUAGAAAUUUACCAAGGUUGUUGGCCCAGGGCGUUAAAUUCACAGAUUUUUUUAACGAGAAAAACACACAGAAGAAGCUACCUCAGGUGUUUUUACCUCAGCACCUUGCUCUUGUGUUUCCCUUAGAGAUUUUGUAAAGCUGAUAGUUGGAGCAUUUUUUUAUUUUUUUAAUAAAAAUGAGUUGGAAAAAAAAUAAGAUAUCAACUGCCAGCCUGGAGAAGGUGACAGUCCAAGUGUGCAACAGCUGUUCUGAAUUGUCUUCCGCUAGCCAAGAACCUAUAUGGCCUUCUUUUGGACAAACCUUGAAAAUGUUUAUUUAAAAAAAAAAAAAGAUGACAAAGAAAAACAGAGAGAGAGAAUAUUGGAGAUGUCCUGAAUUUUAAUAGGGUACGCGCCAUUAGGGCUUUUUGCGCUAAAGGAUGAACAUGUACUGGUUUAUGUGGACAAGCC
rnacentral:lncRNA from 1 species